CAUCCACUUCACAACUUUUGAAAUAUCUCCCACAUCAAAACAUAGAACCUUUAUCCCCUCGUACUUUGCAAGAAAAUGAAAUAUUAGGCUUACCUUCAUCGUCAUUAGAUCCAUUUAGUGAGGAUGAGGAUGAAAUCCUAAGCUAACACGAUCAUGAUUAACAACAAAACUUAGAUAUCCCCUCCAUCCAACAACAACAACAACCUUUUACAUCUAUUCCAUACAACCCAC
rnacentral:lncRNA from 1 species